GACGAACGCUGGCGGCGUGCUUAACACAUGCAAGUCGAACGGUAAGGCCCUUCGGGGUACACGAGUGGCGAACGGGUGAGUAACACGUGGGUGAUCUGCCCUGCACUUCGGGAUAAGCCUGGGAAACUGGGUCUAAUACCGGAUAGGACCACUGCCUGCAUGGGUGGUGGUGGAAAGCUUUUGCGGUGUGGGAUGGGCCCGCGGCCUAUCAGCUUGUUGGUGGGGUGAUGGCCUACCAAGGCGACGACGGGUAGCCGGCCUGAGAGGGUGACCGGCCACACUGGGACUGGGAUACGGCCCAGACUCCAACGGGAGGCAGCAGUGGGGAAUAUUGCACAAUGGGCGCAAGCCUUAUGCAGCGACGCCGCGUGAGGGAUGUCGGCCUUCGGGUUGUAAACCUCUUUCAGCACCGACGAAGCGCAAGUGACGGUAGGUGCAGAAGAAGGACCGGCCAACUACGUGCCAGCAGCCGCCGUAA
rnacentral:rRNA from 1 species